rnacentral:rRNA from 1 species
CCUACGGGAGGCAGCAGUGGGGAAUAUUGGGCAAUGGGCGCAAGCCUGACCCAGCAACGCCGCGUGAAGGAAGAAGGCUCUCGGGUUGUAAACUUCCUUUUAGAGGGAAGAGCAGAAGACGGUAUCUCUUGAAUAAGCUCCGGCUAAAUACGUGCCAGCAGCUGAGGUAAUACGUAGGGAGCGAGCGUUGUCCGGAUUUACUGGGUGUAAAGGGCGUGUAGCCGGGAGUACAAGUCAGAUGUGAAAUCUUGCGGCUCAACCGCGGAACUGCAUUUGAAACUGUAAUUCUUGAGUACUGGAGAGGCAGACGGAAUGCGUGGUGUAGCGGUGAAAUGCAUAGAUAUUAGGAGGAACACCAGUGGCGAAGGCAGUCUGCUGGACAACAACUGACGGUGAGGCGCGAAAGCGUGGGGAGCAAACAGGAUUAGAUACCCCAGUAGUC